rnacentral:rRNA from 1 species
UACGAAGGGGCUAGCGUUGCUCGGAAUCACUGGGCGUAAAGGCGCGUAGGCGGCCAAGUAAGUUGGGGUGAAAGCCCGUGGCUCAACCACGGAAUUGCCUUCGAUACUGCUUGGCUUGAGACCGGAAGAGGUGAGUGGAACUGCGAGUGUAGAGGUGAAAUUCGUAGAUAUGGGAAGAACACCGGUGGCGAAGGCGGCUCACUGGCUCAUAUCUGACGCUCAGGCGCGACAGCGUGGGGAUCAAACAGG